UACGUAGGCAGCAAGCGUUGUUCGGAGUUACUGGGCGUAAAGAGUAUGUAGGCGGUGUCCUAAGUUCGGUGUGAAAUCUCCCGGCUCAACUGGGAGGGUGCGCCGAAGACUGGGAUGCUGGAGUCUCGGAGAGGAACGCGGAAUUCCUGGUGUAGCGGUGAAAUGCGUAGAUAUCAGGAGGAACACCAGUGGUGUAGACGGCGUUCUGGACGAGUACUGACGCUGAGAUACGAAAGCGUGGGGGAGCAAACAGG
rnacentral:rRNA from 1 species